GGGAGCGGAUGGGUUCUGGUGUUCCCUCUGGUCUUCAAAACCAGUAUAAGGAGUUAGAAGCUUCUUGGGUGAGUUCGAUUCUCACACGUUCCCGCCA
rnacentral:tRNA from 1 species